rnacentral:rRNA from 1 species
GACAGAGGUGCCGAGCGUUAGGCGGAAUCACUGGGCUUAAAGCGUGUGUAGGCGGAUCCGUAAGUACCUUGUGAAAUCCCACGGCUCAACCGUGGAACGGCUGGGUAUACUGCGGGUCUUGAGCCACUUAGGGGCGAACCGGAACAAACGGUGGAGCGGUGAAAUGCGCAGAUAUCAGGAGGAACACCGGUGGCGAAGGCGGGUCUCUGGGCAGUGAACUGACGCUGAGGAGCGAAAGCGUGGGGAGCGAA